GUCAUAGAACAAGUUUUGCUUCAGAAAUUGCUCUUUGCUAAGAAGCUAUUUUUUGUUUAUUGGGGAGAAUUUUUAUGGAAAACAAUCACUGUAAGGUACUUAACUGUUACCCAGAAAUCAUUUGAUAUUGAGAUACAAAUGUUUAUUAAAAAUGUUUAUUUAAUUUAGUUUAAUGAAACUAGAGAUUUAGCUGAGUAGUCUAAGCAAUUGAUUUCUUAUGUAUUUCAUCUCAGUGCUUGGGAAGUGAACUGUUUUGACUAAUCAAAAAUGUCCUUUUGAUACAAAGAUCCUGGUUAAAUGGGGGAGAUUUUGGAGAUUUCAGAUAAAUAAUAACAGAAGAGAAAGCUUCCAUUCCCGCUGAAAGGUGACUUCAAGCUGUGUGGCUCUUAGAUGUAAAAAAUGAAUACAAAAAAAUCUGCAAUUUCGGUGUGUUUGUUGAAAACACUUGCAGCCCACAUCUUGAAAUUAGAUUAAGUAAUCCAACAUGUAAUUGGCUAUUUUUAAGAAUGUAAUUGUAAUCUGAUUAGGGCCACACAUGUAAGUAAUCCGGGUUGAUUAGUUACUUAGAUUUCGUAAUCUGAUUACAUUAUAAUCCUUGUUACAUGUAAUCUGUUAUAGUGUCGCGUGGACGUCCUUCCAAGUCCUGUCUCGUUCACUCGACUAUUGAAAUUUUGGAAAACUUCAGAAUUGGAUUUGGCGUUUGAAUGGGAGUGCUGGCAUUCAGCAAUAAUGAACAUGUUUAGUUUUAGUGGAGAUCCCUCAAUAAUCAUUCUCACUAUAGCACAUUGGUAAUAGUCAGAGACAAAUAAACUGAGUGGACAAAACAUUAAGCACACCUUCCUAAUAUUGAGUUGAAUCUUCCGGCGCUCGUUUACAGUGAACACUGAGACUGUACCCUUACAGUUUUAGGCAUUAGACUAUUGUGGCCAUUUGAGCAUAGUGAAGGACUACCAACAAAACCAAUGGAGCAAAUCCCAUAACACUUUCACAUGGAAAUAGCUUUUGAUUUCUAUGAUAUAGCCUACAGUAGCCUAUGUGGCCUCCAUUGCAUGAGACUUUUACAUUAUGAAGUGCUUGACAUUAAUUAUUUUUUUACUUGACAAUGAGCCAAAUAAGUGUACUGUAAAUUGCAAAGUAAUGUGUUGUAUGAUGCAAGAAACCACUUUACAAAACAAAAUGAUUUAUUAUUACCAUAGAGAGAAUUAGACAAUGUAGGCUUCCUCUUUGCCUAUUGGCUUAUUUGCGUCUUCAAUCAUGUCUCAAAAUACAACACUGCCCCAUUAAGACAUAAGCUUUUUACCUGACUGGCUUUUCAAAGACAGCUUGAAAUGUAGCCUAAGCCUAAACGAUUUGUGCUUUGUAGGAAGCAGUAAUUCCCCAUUGCUGACCUAUACUUAUCUAUAACUGGGCUAAUAACUAGCAAAGAAUAUCAACAAAUUUGCACCAGCACAGCUCUGAUCUGAACUGAUUUGAAAAACACAUUCAACCCUGGGUGAUUGAAAGACCACUUGUGGGUUUACCCCCACUCCCUUUUGUGCUCUGGCUCUGCCUGUAACAAAAUCACAGACUCAAUCUUGCAAAGUUAGAUUUGUUUAGUUUUUUGCAUUGAAAAGGGGCUGAUAUAAUGUUGAUUCGAUCACAGAAAAAAAACGUUGAUCUAUAUAUAUAUAGUGCAAACUAAUGGAGCGAACUCAGUGAAGAUCAAUCUCUUGCGUCUCUGCGUGGCCUGGCAUUUCUUCAGCCCAGCAGUCCUGGACACAACCCCUGACCACAAUCACACAACUACUGACCACAACCAACUAACUACUGAUCACACAACUCCUGAACACUAGAGACUAUACCUACUGACCACAACUACUGAACACAACCAACCAACAACUGACCACACAACUGCUGACCACAACUACAACUGGGCUCCCGAGUAGUGCAGCAGUCUAAGGCACUGCAUCUCAGUGCUUGGUUCGAUUCCAGGCUGUAUCACAACCGGCCGUGAUUGGGAAUCCCAUAAGGCGCCGCAUAAUUGGCUCAGUGUCGUUAGGGUUUGGCCGGGGUAGGCCGUAAUUGUAAAUAUGAAUUUGUUCUGAUUUGCCUAUUUAAAUGAAGAUUAAAUACAAAUAACUACUGACCACAACACAACUAGGGACCAUAACUCCUGACCACAACCACACAACUACUGAACACAACUCCAACACUACUGACCAAGACUAAUGAACCAUACACCAUAACUACGAACCGCAACACUACUGAACACAGCCACAACCACACAGAUACUGACCAAAAUAACACAACUACAUACAAUAACUACUGACCACAAUCACACAUCUACUGCACAUAACCACACAACUACUGACCACAACUACAGACCAUAACUACUGACCACAACUACUGAUCACAACGAACCAACUACUGACCACAACAACACAACUAGAGACCAUAACUACUGACCAUAACUACUGAGCACAACUGCUGGAAAACAAGUAUUUGGUCAAUAACAAACGUUUAUCUCAAUACUUUGUUAUAUACCCUUUAUUGGCAAUGACAGAGGUCAAACGUUUUCUGUAAGUCUUCACAAGGUUUCCACACACUGUUGCUGGUAUUUUGGCCCAUUCCUCCAUGCAGAUCUCCUCUAGAGCAGUGAUGUUUUGGGGCUGUUGCUGGGCAACAUGGACUUUCAACUCCCUUCAAAGAUUUUCUAUGGGGUUGAGAUCUGGAGACUGGCUAGGCCACUCCAGGACCUUGAAAUGCUUCUUACGAAGCCACUCCUUCGUUGCCCGGGCGGUGUGUUUGGGAUCAUUGUCAUGCUGAAAGACCCAGCCACGUUUCAUCUUCAAUGCUCUUGCUGAUGGUAGGCUUUGUUACUUUGGUCCCAGCUCUCUGCAGGUCAUUCACUAGGUCCCCCCGUGUGGUUCUGGGAUUUUUGGUCACCGUUCUUGUGAUCAUUUUGACCCCACCGGGUGAGAUCUUGCGUGGAGCCCCAGAUCGAGGGAGAUUAUCAGUGGUCUUGUAUGUCUUCCAUUUCCUCAUAAUUGCUCCCACAGUUGAUUUAUUCAAACCAAGCUGCUUACCUAUUGCAGAUUCAGUCUUCCCAGCCCGGUGCAGGUCUACAAUUUUGUUUCUGGUGUCCUUUGACAACUCUUUGGUCUUGGCCAUAGUGGAGUUUGGGGUGUGACUGUUUGAGGUUGUGGACAUGUGUCUUUUAUACUGAUAACAAGUUCAAACAGGUGCCAUUAAUACAGGUAACGAGUGGAGGACAGGGGACCCUCUUAAAGAAGAAGUUACAGGUCUGUGAGCCAGAAAUCUUGCUUGUUUGUAGGUGACCAAAUACUUAUUUUCCACCAUAAUUUGAAAAUUCAUUAAAAAUCCUACAAUGUGAUUUUCUGGAUUUUCCCCCCUCAUUUUAUCUGUCAUAGUUGAAGUGUAACUAUGAUGAAAAUUACAGGCCUUUCUCAUCUUUUUAAGUGGGAGAACUUGCACAAUUGGUGGCUGACUAAAUACUUUUUUGCCCCACUGUAUAUCCAUCCUGCCCUGCCUUUCUAAAAUCUUUGAAAGCCAAGUUAACAAACAGAUCACCAACCAUUUCGAAACCCACUGUACCUUCUCCACUAUCCAAUCUGGUUUCCGAGCUGGUGCACCUCAGCCACGCUCAAGGUCCUAAAUUAUAUCAUAACCACCAUCGAUAAAAGACAGUACUGUGCAGCCGUCUUCAACGACCUGACCAAGGCUUUCGACUCUGUCAAUCACUGCAUUCUUAUCGGCAGACUCAAUAGCCUUGGAUUCUCAAAUGACUGCCUCGCCCCGUUCAUCAACUACUCCUCAGAUCGAGUUCAGUGUGUCAAAUCGGAGGGCCACAGGGUUCAAUUCUCUGGCCAACUCUUUUAUCUGUAUAUAUAUCAAUAUGUAUACAUGCUGCUGGUGAUUCUCUGAUCCACCUCUACACAGACGACACCAUUCUGUAUACAUCUGGCCCUUCUUUGGACACUGUGUUAACAAACCUCCAAACGAGCUUCAAUGCCAUACAACACUCCUUCCGUGGCCUACAACUGCUUUUAAAUGCUAGUAAAACUAAAUCCAUGCUCUUCAACCGAAUAUUGCCCGCACCCGCCUGCCCGACUAUCAUCACUAUUCUGGACGGUUCUGACUUAGAAUAUAUUGACAACUACAAAUACCUAGGUGUCUGGCUAGACUGUAAACUCUCCUUCCAGAUUCACAUUAAGCAUCUCCAAUUCAAAAUUAAAUCUAGAAUCGGCUUCCUAUUUUGCAACAAAGCCUCCUUUACUCAUGCUGCUAAACUUACCCUCGUAAAAAUGUCUAUCCUACCAAUCUUUGACUUUGGCAAUGUCAUUUACAAAAUAGCCUCCAACACUCUACUCAGCAAACUGGAUGUAGUCCAUCACAGUGCCAUCCGUUUUGUCACCAAAGCCCAAUAUACUACCCACCACUGCGACCUGCACGCUCUCGUUGGCUGGCCCUCACUACAUAUUCGUCGCCAAACCCACUGGCUCCAGGUCAUCUAAGUCUUUGCUAGGUAAAUCCCCGCCUUAUCUCAGCUCACUGGUCACCAUAGCAACACCCACCCGUAGCACACGCUCAAGCAGGUAUAUUUCACUGGUCAUCCCCAAAGCCAACACUUCCUUUGGCCGCCUUUCCUUCCAGUUCUCUGCUGCCAAUGACUGGAACAAAUUGCAAAAAUCACUGAAGCUGGAGUCUUAUAUGUCCCACUCGACCUUUAAGCAUCAGCUGUCGAAGCAUAUUCCCUGAUCACUGUGCCUGUACACAGCCAAUCUGUAAAUAGCACACCCAACUACCUCAUCCCCAUAUUGUUAUUUAUCCUCUUGCUCUUUUGCACCCCAGUAACUCUACUUGCACAUCAUCAUCUGCACAUCUAUCACUCCAGUGUUAAUGCUAAAUUGUAAUUAUUUCACCUCCAUGGCCUAUUUAUUGCCUUACCUCCCUACUCUUCUACAUUUGCACACACUGUACAUAGAUUUUUUUAUUGUGUUAUUGACUGUACGUUUGUUUAUGUGUAACUCUGUGUUGUUGUUUUUGUCGCACUGCUUUGUUUUAUCUUGACCAGGUCACAGUUGUAAAUGAGAACUUAUUCUCAACUGGUCUACUGUCACGUUCUGACCAUAGUUCAUAGUUUUAGUGUUGGUCAGGAUGUGAGCUGGGUGGGCAUUCUAUGUUGUGUGUCUAGUUUGUCUAUUUCUAUGUUUGGCCUGAUAUGGUUCUCAAUCAGAGGCAGGUGUUAGUCAUUGUCUCUGAUUGGGAACCAUAUUUAGGUAGCCUGUUUUGUGGGUGGUUGUUUCCUGUCUCUCCUGUGUUCUCUGCAUCAGAUAGGACUGUUUCGGUUUUGCCACGUUUAUUGUGUUCAUGGUUAGUUUCUCUGAUUAAAGAACAUGAACUCUAACCACGCUGCAUUUUGGUCCUCCUCUCCUUUGACGGAAGAAAGCCGUUACACCUACCUGGUUAAAUAAAGGUAAAAUUAAAAAUACAUGCAGCACUUUGGGGUGGGCACCCACCUGCCUGAGAUUAUCAUUGAGAGAUGAUUUGAAAUAGUUUCUCAGUGUGGAAGUACUCCCAGUACUUUGAUUUGGUAGAAGGACAAAAUGACAAGAAUAUAACUGUAAAAAGUGUAAACUGUGCCCAGGAGAGAAACACCUUUCCACUGCAAGAAACACAACUUCCAACCUCUUGAAGCACCUGCAAAAGCAUCACGCCAUGACAAAACUCAUAGCGAAAGACCCCCUAGGCCUGACCACUGCUGCUGAAGAGAAAUGUAGACAUACCUCCUCCAAACAACCCAGGCUUGAUUUUAAUCAUUCAGGAGGACAGGCUGUAACCCAGGGAGAGCUGAACAUGCUUGUAGCUGGCAGGGGGAACCAUCAGGCCCAGGCCAAAUACAGCCUAUGGCACAACAAAGAUUGGAGUGACUGUGCUGUCCAGGAUUUAGGCUGAGACCUGGGCAGCUGAUGGAAUGCCCGCUGCCCUGGCUGGGUCUGCACCGACAUGGCAGGCCCCUAGUCCACCAAGAGCCCUAAGGAGCUCUUAGGCACUUCUUUCUGAGUGGGCCAAGGAGCCACAUGGACAGUUGGUGUGGGAAAAGACAUUUACAUUUAAGUCAUUUAGCAGACGCUCUUAUCCAGAGCGACUUACAAAUUGGUGCAUUCACCUUAUGACCGUUCAGGAAUGGUAGAUGGGAGACAGCAGGAAGUUUACCUUAUCUCAGAAACUUGAGGUAAAUUGUGGGCCCCCCCACCAAAAAAAAUACAAUAAUAAAAAAUAUAUAUUUUUAGAGGAACUCAGUCUGGCUUUAAACUUACUCUUGAAUGUUUGAAUAGUAGAGUGCACAAGGUUCAUUUUCGAAACUGUAUCAUCAGUUCCUCUUGUCAUGUCAGUCAUUGCAUACCUUAAAGAGCUAUUUAUAACUUGUCAGAAAUGUCCAGAUCAACUAGCCCAUGUCAGCUAAUGGUUUUUUAUUUAGGUUUUUCAGCCCAUAGAUAUUGUUGUAAUUUUUUGGUCACUCAAAUAUUACAUGAACACACAUUAGACAUGGCAAAAUGUAUAGAAUUGCAAGAAAAUUUGCUUUAAAACGGCUAAAUGUUAUUUUCACCCCAUGACAAAAUGUGUAGAAUUGCAAUAAAUAAGCGUUAAACUUGCAAACACGUUCUCCACCAACAAGAGGGGUGUGAACAGUGUGUCAUGAACAGUGCUUGUGCCCGCAGAAAUAGACGAGUCACACACGCGGGGGAGGGGAUCUUCCCCAAUGCUGGGAACCCCUGAUCUCCAUGAAGGCAGCUGACAGUUUUUGCACUCUAUCAGAAAGUAGGCUGGCCUUCUUUGACGUCGCAUAGGUUAAAAAAAAAUGUUUUAAAAGCAUUCUGUUUUGCAAAAACUCCCGCAUUACCUAUUGCCAUUACUAACCUUUAGAUGUACGAGAUAACAUACCAGGUCACAGGGCUGGCGAACUUUGAAAUUCCUUCUGUCACUACAGAUUUAAGUAAAACAGCUUUUAGUUUCUUCGCAUCUCACUUAUGUAACAAUCUACAGAAUACCCCACAGUUGGAUGCAUUGGUGCUUUUCGUGCAGUUCAGAGAGUUGGUAGAGCACGUCUUCGCUGAGGAAUGUAGAUGUUUUUUUUAUGAUUGUGUUUUUCGUUGUUUUUUUUCGUUGUGUGUUUCAUAUGCUCCUGCCUUUGACCGUAACUUUUAUUGUGUAAUUGCUUGGACUUGUCAUGCAGGGCUUCCUUGAAAAAAUAUAUUGAUCUCAAUGGGACUCCCCUGUCUAAAUUAUUAAAAAGAUGUAUAAAUAUAUGUUGAUAUAUAAAAUGUCUGAGACAGUGAUUUACUGUGAAACCUUGUUCACAACACUGUAACUGUUUAUUGAGUCAAGCCCCUAGAGGGCACUAAAGACCAGACACGGGCCGAGAAAGCCUGAGAUAAUAUUGUCUCAAAAGGCAGCCUUUAUUUUGUACAGCCAUGCUUCAAAAUACAGUUUACUUGUAGAUUAACUUUAGAUGAAUUGAACAUGUUGUGGACACCUGGGUGUCUCGUUAUUUGCCAUGUGUUCACCCCUGAAGAUGAGAACCCUUUCAUUCAAGCUACUUUAUCUUCCUCCCCCUUAUUCACUUGUAGGUGUCUGCAAGCACAAAGACUCUCACAUGCACUUAACCUUGAGUGAGAGCCAACCAGCACUAUCAGGUCGACCUGACAUACCAUCAGAGAGUGUCAGUCAAGCAGCCUGUUAACUUAUUUAUAGUUAAAGGCACACAGCAUCUACAAAUUAUGUCAACUGUUGGUCAAGUAGGCUUAAUCAUCAUUUGUUUAUUUUUGUAUUUUAUAUUCCAUUACCUUCUUGAGACUUGAUGAAGGGGUGUGAUGAAGAUGCAUUCCUUUAAAAGAUGAACGGCAACUAAUAAGAGGGAGUUCAUGCUAUUGUACAUUCAGUAUUUUGAGUAACAGACCCAAACUAAUCCCGUCUCCUUCCUCUAUACUUCCUGAGGAAGUGCCCCAGGGAGCAUACAGUGCA